GACUUUUAUUAAAUUGUUUGUUAAUGCAUAUCAGAAUGAGCCUGUUGGUUCGAGUGGUAAGGGAGUUGGUGUGUUGGAGGUCUUGUGUUUGAAUCUCUGUGCAAGCGUGAAUGUUACUUUUUGUUCGAUUAUCUGAUAGAGUUUCAGUGGAGCAGAAAUUCUGAGGGAGUUAUGAGUAGUGGGAUUUGUGGGAGAAAAAUAGGGGAUUGUAUGGAUAUCUUUUAUUUUUCUUUUCAAUUUUUUUAAUUAUUUUUGUUUUCUCUCUCUUUCUAAUUCCCAAAAUUUUUUUGACAUUCUCUUCUUGUUCUGGCAAAAAUCUAUUGCUUUCUUGCGUUUGAAAUUCUGUCGAAAUUCUGAUUUUCUAUUUCUCGGUGCUUUGUCCGAUUUGGUAAGUGUAAGGGG
rnacentral:lncRNA from 1 species